rnacentral:rRNA from 1 species
GACGAACGCUGGCGGCGUGCCUAAUACAUGCAAGUCGAACGAGAGCGACCGGUGCUUGCACUGGUCAAUCUAGUGGCGAACGGGUGAGUAAUACGUGGGUAACCUGCCCAUCAGAGGGGGAUAACAUCCGGAAACGGAUGCUAACACCGCAUAGGUCUUCGAGCCGCAUGGCUUGAAGAGGUAACGAGGCGCAAGCUUCUGCUGAUGGCUGGUUCCGCGGUGCUUUAGCUAGUUGGUGAGGUAACGGCCCACCAAAGCCGUGAUGCAUAGCCGACCUGAGAGGGUGAUCGGCCACAUUGGGACUGAGACACGGCCCAAACUCCUACGGGAGGCAGCAGUAGGGAAUCUUCCGCAAUGGACGCAAGUCUGACAGAGCAACGCCGCGUGAGUGAAGAAGGUUUUCGGAUCUUAAAACUCUGUUGUUAGGGAAGAACAAGUGCUAGAGUAACUGUUAGCGCCUUGACGGUAUCUAACCAGAAAGCCACGGCUAACUACGUG